UUGACCUCGGAUCAGGCAGGGAUACCCGCUGAACUUAAGCAUAUCAAUAAGCGGAGGAAAAGAAACCAACAGGGAUUGCCUCAGUAACGGCGAGCGAAGCGGCAACAGCUCAAAUUUGAAAUCUGGCUCUUUUAGGGUCCGAGUUGUAAUUUGUAGAGGAUGCUUCGGCGUCGGCUCCGGUCUAAGUUCCUUGGAACAGGACGUCAUAGAGGGUGAGAAUCCCGUAUGUGAUCGGUUGCCCUUGCCAUGUGAAGCUCCUUCGACGAGUCGAGUUGUUUGGAAUGCAGCUCUAAAUGGGAGGUAAAUUUCUUCUAAAGCUA
rnacentral:rRNA from 1 species